AGCUCCUGGAGGGCAGAGCUGGGCACACAGUGGGUGCCAGGCGGAUGCCGCUGUGCUCAGGGAGCAGCGAGCCAGACCCUCUGUGGGUUCUUGUCUCUGGCUGUGCUGAGGAAGCCUGGAGCCUCCCAGGCCCAUGACACAGGCUGGGGAUGGAGAUGCUGAGUGUUUCACUGGUCUUCUUACCAAGCCGGAAAGAGAAAGCCCUGGCCCUGACUCAGAAUUGGAUUCUAGCUGGAGGCGUCCUCUCCGUGGCUGGCUCCAGGGAAAGAUGGGGAAACUGAGGCCCGAGAGGUAGAAGCAACUUCCCACAGCCAGUGGUGAUGCUGACCUAAACCCCACCGAGCAUGAGGCCCACGUGGACCCGUGUUCAAAGAGACUGUGGGGUGGGGCCGGAUGGGAAGUAGUUAGGGAAGGGGGGGCCUCUUCGGCUUCCCAGGGUUGUCCUUGGGUCUUCCCAGGCCACCAGGUCAAUAGGCUUGUCCUUCAGUAACAAGGAAGAUGUAGGUGUGACAGUGAUUCCUGGGGAGAGGGACAGAGUCCAGGGGCCCGAGAUAAUGGAGAGAGUGCCUGGCAGGGGGCAGAGGGCAUAAAAGAUGGUGUGAGGACACCCUGACAUACAUAGGACACACAUGCAUACCGCACACCGCAUUCACAUAUGCUGCACACACCACACAUACUGCAUUCACACCUCUUCACACACAUACCAUAUGUAACACACCCCACACACUCCAUACUUAACACACAUACCACACACACAUCAAACAUAACACCCUCACACGCACACCGUACAUCACAUGCCACACGCCGCCCACAGCACACACGCCACGGCAGACUUUUGCUUCGUUUUGACACCCAACUCAGAGGCGGUCUUUUUGUACUGCAGAUUUUUGAAAACGUCACGAUUAGGAAUAAUAACAAAAAUAGUAAUGACAAUAGCGGGCGUUCAUUGAGAACUUGUUGCGGGUCAGAAGGCUUCGCAUGGACCCCUUCACGGAGUUCCCACCACCCCUGUGAAGCAGGUGCUGUCGGUGCCCCCGUGGGGAAGUUGGGUACCACGACUGGGAAACUGAGGCUCGAGGAUUUGGAGCUUGGAAUGGAUGGAGCUGUCACUGAACACGGGUCAGCCCGUCUCCAGAAGCCACACUGAAUGUUCCCUUCGAUGCACAAACAACAAAAUCAAGAACAAAGGCCCACCUCGCUGCACACAGAGCCGCUCCUGGUUGACUUAGGCUCUCUCCGUGGAUGCAAGGUUUGGGGUCCCCCUCUGGUGGCCGGGGGCAGUUUGGAGGGGAGAGGGAGGCAGGGACGGGGGGCCACAGAAGGUGCUAAAGGCGGAGGAGAGGGAGAUGGCUACUGCCCCCCCCCCCCCGCCCCGAGGGACACAGACCACUCCACCUCCUCAGGGCAGGGAGGUGGGGAGGGGCCCGGCCGGAACAGCCCAGACUGGGUGCUCUCCGCACAGCUUCCACACCCCGGGGGCCCCCAGGUGGCCGGGUGAGGGGUUUCCUUCCCCUGCGGGGUUGAGGGCUGGGACCCCAGGACCCUGCUUUCCCUGAGGCUAUCUUCCCCACCCAGCCCUGGUCCUAGCAGGGCGCCAACCAGCCUGUCCCUGGGGAAGGGGGGGGCUCCCCCAGACACUCUUGUCCUCCCCAUGCACCCUCAGUACAGCGGCCCCUCCGAUGCCAACAACGCUGCCUGCUGCGGAAGGCCAGCCCGUUCUCUGCAGCCCUGAGAGGGCAAGAGUGGACACAACCUCUGUGCCCAUCCACCGGGGACUGGAUCACCGCGCACAGGGGCAUGCGCACAAGGGAACACUAUUCAGUCACGAGGAAGAGCGAGGUCGCCACACGUAUAGACCUGGAAAGGAGACUGUAAUGUGUAAAGGAAAAUAAAUUGCCAAACAGGAUGUAGAGCACUGCCCGACUGUUAUCAAAAGAAGUAUUUAGAUGGGCUUCUAUUGACAGAAGAAACGUAAGACAGAAGUCUUAAUCUCUGGACGCUGGUUAUCUAGGGAGUUGAAUUGGGAGGUGUUGGGAGGGAGACGAUUUUACUAUUUUCUUUAUACCUUCUGUGGUGUAACAAUGACGAUGGCUCAUUUUGCUAAUUAAAAAAAUCAGCAAAUGGUGGGAGGGGCGGGGAGUGGGGCAUCCUGGGUGUCUGCAAAAGAUACCAGAACUUACUUCCCAGCCUCAGUUCAGGCAAAGUGGGGGGUCCGUCCACAGGGCCGGGGUUCUUUUCUCCCCUCCAGAUGGCUUUCUCUCCAUCUGCCUCAGCAGGGGGACUACUGGGCACCUUUCAGCAUCACUCCCUUAAGUUGGGACCAAGAGGCAUUCUGAGACGAACCGCAGGGUCUUGGCCUAGAGACGUCUGGAAUCUUCAGAGUGAGACAGUGAGGAAACUGAGUCUCAGAAGGGAGCCCUGGGCAGCAGACCCAGGGGGUUCUGUGCCCCAGCCUCUUCAAGGACAGAAUCAUCCAACCACCAAGUCAUUCCCCAAGAGACACCAGGCAAGAACAGUGAGUGCAGUGGACACGGGAAGGAUGCCGGUGACAGAGCCACCUCUGCAAUGCAGUGCACGCAUUGACAUGGUCCUCAUGGGGGGUACCAUGGGCUCCAGCUGAAGGUCAGAGAGAAGGCCAUGGCCGAGGUCACUGUGCUGGAAAGCAUCACGGCUGGCUUUGGAGCCCUGGUUGGUCCAUCUGAUGGCAAAGACCUCCUUGCCCAGACCCCAGCUCAGCGUCCAGCGCCGAUCAGAGCCCCGUGCUCGGUGCUGCAUAGCGCUUGGCAUCCAGCAUAUGCUUAACACCCAGUUAGCCUCCCUCCUUGCCCUGGUCCUGCCAGGGUGUGACCUUGGCCGUGUCAUUCUCCGCUUCCAGGCCUCGGUUCCCUAUCUGUGCAGGGAGGGUGCUGCCCCGGGGGGUGUCCUAGCUCCCCUGGCAGCCUCAACAUCCUACACUUCCACUGCAGAAGCCAGGAAGAGUUGGUGGGGUGCCCCGGGGCUGGGGCAAAUUUGGGGGCCAGGGCUCCUUUCUGGAGGGACCCAGGAGAGCCCCGCCGACAGCCCCCAGCACCCCCCAAAACAGCAGCCCCGGCCAAGCCUGGCUCCCCACCUCCAUCCCUUGUCCCCUUCCACCAGGCUUGGUCCUCCCCCACACCCAUCACACCGACACCCUUGCCUCUGACCAGGGCUGCCCCACACAUUGGCGGGUGCCCGAAGCGCCUUGAAAAAUCGCUCUCUGGCAUCCCUUCCCCAACACACAGCCCCAACUGGCAGCGAGGUGAGCAGAGAGUGAGGGGGAGAGAGGAGAGAGCAGAGAGGGAGGGAAAUGCAAAUGUUUUUUAUCCUCCUUUUCUUUUAAACACUGAAACCCGCCUCGACAGCCUCUGAAAAUAAACGGCACCGACUUGCUGGGA